AUGAAUUGCUUUACUUGGCUACA
rnacentral:siRNA from 1 species